GCUGGAAGCAGAGCACGAUCUGAGAGUUUAAACAAUCUGGAUCAAUCACUGACUACUACGGAGGAAGAGACUACUACGGAGGAAGAGACUCUUGUAAAAGAGAUACCUCGCGCUCGCUCGUAUUCCUCGCAGGUCUUACGGGGGGAGAGGCUAACAACUUUACAAAUCAACAGUCCAGUUUCAGUGACACCUUUAAUGUCUCUGCAUACUGCUGGAGAUUGUAGAAAAGUUUCUGCUGAACCUGAGCUUGAGAGAAACAUCCUGUCCACAUCACCUCCAAGCCCCAGCCUACGGGAAACGACUCCAGCUGUGUCACCAUUUGCCAAACUGCCAAUCCCAGUGGUGCCAAUUGACAAAAAGGGAAAAGGAGAAGUGAGUGAGAUGCUCAGUAGCUCCAAACUACUCAAGAACAGCCAAAGUACCACUGUGUUAACUGUAAGCCCAACUGUAAGACCAAGUGUAACUACCACACCAGAACUGAGUCCUGUGAAAGAUGAGAAGUCUAAUGCUGUGCCAAUAGAUACCAAGACGGACAAAUGCAGUGUUCAGAAUGCAGUAAAUAUUGAAAAUCACACAGCCUCUGCUCAUGGUCCAACCAAUGUGAUUUGUGGAAUAAAUCUGAGACCAUCAUCUUUGAGGAGAAAUAUACCUUCCACAGAUGAAAAACAAAAAAAAGAGUCCGGGACUGAAGCUCACACUCAAACAGAAUCCAUAAAGCGCCAGAGAACUGUGUCUGGAUCGUUCCACUUCAGUGUCUCCUCAGACAAGAAUCAAGAGCGGCAGAGGACUGCAAGUUUCACUGGAGUAUUUGGACAAGCUGGAAUUAAAAAAAAAGCCUCCAUCUCCUGUCAAACCUCCUUUAAAUUUCAAGAUAGAGCGGCAAGUAAGUUCACAAGUUGAGAAAACAAUAAAAGACACAUGCCCUAACAUACCACCAACUUCAAAGAAGGAAGACAAAACGGACACUUCUCCAGUGAUGCCAACAAAGUUCACAGAUCUAGCAAAGAGUCACCCUCGGGCCUUGGAUGUGGAGGAGAGUCAGGACAACGAGAAGCAGGAGAUUGGGGUAGAGGAAGGAGUACAGGAGGUGGAGCUGGCAGAAGAGGCACGUGAGGAUGUGAUGGAAGAUGUGACUAUGGGAAAAGAGGAAGAUGCUUCAAAUGCAUUUGGAGUGAAGCUUCGCUCUACCUCUCUUUCACAAAAAUUUCACUUGGACAAAGCUCAAUCAGAAGAAGUAAAAUGCCACAGUGUUGAAGUUAGUGCACCGAUUUCCUCUUCGGCCUCUCAGUCUGAUUCAACCAGCUAUGUGGAGCCUGAAGACCAAUGCAUUGGCAUGGGGUCUACAAGAGUCCAUGCUAAACUCAAAGACCCUCCUCUCCAAACUGAUGCAUCCUCAACUUCAGUUCAUUCCUUCGGUUCGCCACCUAAGAGUUCCUGUAGGGACAAAGAGAGAGCUGGUGUCCUCAGACAGGCUGAACCUGCUCAGCCCUCAUCAUCAGCCAGCAAAUCCGCUAAGACUGUACCUUCACCAGCUAAAGAAGAUGCAGACUUGCCUCCAGAAGAGACUACAGUGGUAUCCUCUCAGGAGAAUACAACAUCUACAGCUUCAGAGGUGUCCUGGAUGGAGAUGGCCAGAGAGAAGACCAGAAGUCUCCAACAGCUCUUUACCAGUAGGCUGCCUGAGUUUCCUAGCUUGCAAUCACGACCAACAACCUUAACCACAACACAACCACAAACAUCCACUUCACAAGCCAAUCCAAGAAUCACACAAAACAUUUCAAGCCAGCCGACGACUACACAACCUCUUUUGAGACCUCCAGAAACAAAACCGUUGCCCUCUGCACAGCAAUCUGGAAGAUCUACACAAUCUACCACUCAGCUGAUACAAACUCAGACCAAAACAACAGCAAGCCAGCCUUCGGCAAAUUCAACUCAGACUACCACUAGUCAAUCUCAAACUGACAGUGCCAGAGAAGUCCAGUUUCAGUCCAAGACUCAAAUUUGUAAUUCGACAACAAAAUUAACCCAGUCUGAAGUUACAAGCACAUCGACUGCACAAACCACCAACGUAUACACAGCAAAACAGCCAUCACAAGCAUUGGCACCGCAGACACCACCCAUCCAGCCGUCAUCACCACUGCGAGCAGCAUCACAGACCCCCUCACAAGCUAUACUGCGUCACACACCACCCCCAAGUUACCCACAUCUGUCAUCAAGCCCAAAGUUAACGUCCCACCUAGUGUCCCAACAGUCUGCCAAUACUGUCUCAAACGAUCAGCCUCAGAAUGAGGGGAGAGAGCCCACCGUAUUCUCAGGGAAAGCUGACGGGGCGUCUGCGUCUCAGGGGAAAGACACUGGGCCUAAAGAUGGCAGACCAGUGUGGGCAACAGGAUCAGGAAACAAGACCUCACUCUUACAGCGCUGGGAGAACCAAACAACUGCGACAACCGAGACAGGUGAGCUGAAAUCCACAGCAGACUCCCGAACCACAUUUCAAUCUACAGUUCCUCUCAAACCAAUCUCAAAAGUCUCAGGCACAGGAUUCGACUCAGAAGCAUCAGUCUCUUCUGUUUCCAUGAGGUCAGCAGACAGAGAGAAUAAAUGUCAGCAGAAAUCAGUGCCACCAUCAUCACCUUCAUCAUCAUCUCCUCUGCAGUCUGUCCGUGACACUGCCCAACCAUCCUGGAUGGAGCUGGCAAAGAGGAAAUCCCUGGCAUGGAGUGAUAAGACUAUGGACUAAAAAAGGGCAUUUUCAUGCUUCCAUUUUCUAAGUUGCAUCUAAGCAAUUGUAUUUGAGUCAGAGAUUUGCUCCAUGUGAGCUUCACUUUGAAGUUGAUGUUAAAGCAGUGUGUUCUGGAAGUGAACCACUAUUGCUUAUUAUAUUAUUGAAGGAAAGUUGCACAUUCAUCAGUCAGUAAACCUCCUUAUAGAGUUUGUCUUCUGAAACCUCACGAGAGCUGCUUACGUGCUCUCCAUGUGAAGUAUGAAUGUAUGCACAGGAGAUAAGUACCAACGAAACAAAAAGGAGAAGUUAAUAUUGUGAGCUUUAAAGUCAUGUUCUCUUGCAACUCUGGCUAGCAGCUGCUGGUAAUGUAUUUUGUAAAUGCACCACAGUGCAGCACAAUAGAAAACACUGGGAAAGUAGAUCAGAGGCGGAAGGGGAGGGAAACAAAUUCAGGUUCAGACUCAAUCAAAAGCACCCUGUGUGAGAUCUCAGGAACAGAAACAUAUGGUACCAUAUGUUUUACCCACUACCAUGUUAUGUUGCUCAAUGUUUCUCAGGUUUAACACAUUGUUUUCUUGUGAAAAUAAUACAUUUAAUUAUUUCCUUUCCAAUUACAAAUUUUAUUUAUUUUCAAUAAAUAAAUAUUUCCAAUAUUUCCAAUUCAAUUCCAUCCGAGAAUUUGACGUUGUAUCAUCUGUUAAUUUUCUGACACCUAUUAAGUUAAAGACUAUUAUAAUUUUAUGUUAAAUUAUGUGACUGUAAGAAUAUUUCAAAUUACUUUGAGAUUGCUUUUGAAAAUACCAACUUCCUUGGCCAAUAAAUUCAUCUUAUUAAAUCUGAGACGUGAUAUGUUAUUUAUUGUCAUUUAAAAAUAUACAUCAGUAACACAACAACAAUAAAUAUUGUUUAAAAAUAAAAAAAAUAAUAUUAUAUC
rnacentral:lncRNA from 1 species